rnacentral:rRNA from 1 species
GACGAACGCUGGCGGCGUGCCUAAUACAUGCAAGUAGGACGCAGUUGCGAACGGGUGAGUAACGCGUAGGUAACUACCUAUUAGAGGGGGAUAACUAUUGGAAACGAUAGCUAAUACCGCAUACUAGUAGAUGGACCUGCGUUGUAUUAGCUAGUAGGUAGGGUAAUGGCCUACCUAGGCAACGAUACAUAGCCGGCCUGGGAGGGUGGUCGGGCACACUGGGACUGGGACACGGCCCAGAAGCCUGCGGGAAGCAACAGUAGGGAAGCUUCGGAAAAGGGGGGAAACCUGAACGAGCAACGCCGCGUGAGUGAAGAAGGUUUUCGGAGCGUAAAGCUCUGUUGUUAAGGAAGCGGUACUUAACCAGAAAGGGACGGCUAACUACGUGCCAGCAGCCGCGGUAAUUC